GACGAACGCUGGCGGCGUGCUUAACACAUGCAAGUCGAACGCUGAAGCUUGGUGCUUGCCCUGGGUGGAUGAGUGGCGAGCGGGUGAGUAAUACGUGAGUAACCUGCCCUUGACUCUGGGAUAAGCCUGGGAAACUGGGUCUAAUACUGGAUACGACAUGCCACUGCAUGGUGGUGUGUGGAAAGGGUUUUACUGGUUUUGGAUGGGCUCACGGCCUAUCAGCUUGUUGGUGGGGUAAUGGCCUACCAAGGCGACGACGGGUAGCCGGCCUGAGAGGGUGACCGGCCACACUGGGACUGAGACACGGCCCAGACUCCUACGGGAGGCAGCAGUGGGGAAUAUUGCACAAUGGGCGGAAGCCUGAUGCAGCGACGCCGCGUGAGGGAUGACGGCCUUCGGGUUGUAAACCUCUUUCAGCACGGAAGAAGCGAGAGUGACGGUACGUGCAGAAGAAGCGCCGGCUAACUACGUG
rnacentral:rRNA from 1 species